rnacentral:rRNA from 1 species
UACACGACCGUACCGCAAACCGACACUGGUGCGCGAGAUGAGUAUUCUAAGGCGCUUGAGAGAACUCAGGAGAAGGAACUCGGCAAAUUGACACCGUAACUUCGGAAGAAGGUGUGCCUUUAGUAGGUGAACCUGUACAAGGGGAGCCCAAUGAGGUUGCAAAAAAUCGGUGGCUGCGACUGUUUAAUAAAAACACAGCACUCUGCAAACACGAAAGUGGACGUAUAGGGUGUGACGCCUGCCCGGUGCUGGAAGAUUAAAUGAUGGGGUGCAAGCUCUUGAUUGAAGUCCCAGUAAACGGCGGCCGUAACUAUAACGGUCCUAAGGUAGCGAAAUUCCUUGUCGGGUAAGUUCCGACCUGCACGAAUGGCGUAACGAUGGCCACACUGUCUCCUCCUGAGACUCAGCGAAGUUGAAAUGUUUGUGAUGAUGCAAUCUCCCCGCGGAAAGACGGAAAGACCCCAUGAACCUUUACUGUAGCUUUGUAUUGGACUUUGAACAGAUCUGUGUAGGAUAGGUGGGAGGCUUUGAAGUGUGGUCGCUAGAUCGCAUGGAGCCAACGUUGAAAUACCACCCUGGUGUGUUUGAGGUUCUAACCUAGGCCCGUAAUCCGGGUCGGGGACAGUGCAUGGUAGGCAGUUUGACUGGGGCGGUCUCCUCCCAAAGCGUAACGGAGGAGUUCGAAGGUACGCUAGGUACGGUCGGACAUCGUGCUAAUAGUGCAAUGGCAUAAGCGUGCUUAACUGCGAGACUGACAAGUCGAGCAGAUGCGAAAGCAGGACAUAGUGAUCCGGUGGUUCUGUAUGGAAGGGCCAUCGCUCAACGGAUAAAAGGUACUCUGGGGAUAACAGGCUGAUACCGCCCAAGAGUUCAUAUCGACGGCGGUGUUUGGCACCUCGAUGUCGGCUCAUCUCAUCCUGGGGCUGUAGCCGGUCCCAAGGGUAUGGCUGUUCGCCAUUUAAAGAGGUACGUGAGCUGGGUUUAAAACGUCGUGAGACAGUUUGGUCCCUAUCUUCCGUGGGCGCUGCAGAUUUGAGGAAGCCUGCUCCUAGUACGAGAGGACCGGAGUGGACACACCUCUGGUGUAUCGGUUGUCACGCCAGUGGCAUUGCCGAGUAGCUAUGUGUGGAAGAGAUAACCGCUGAAGGCAUCUAAGCGGGAAACUCGUUUCAAGAUGAGAUCUGCCGGGGCCUUGAGCCCCCUAAAGAGUCGUUCAAGACCAGGACGUUGAUAGGUCGGGUGUGGAAGCGCAGUAAUGCGUUAAGCUAACCGAUACUAAUUGCUCGUGCGGCUUGAUCA